GGACUCUAAAUGCAAUGAAAGCAGUCUGUGUUGAGAGAUUGAAAUGCAUUUCAAAGCCAGGCCUGACUCGGGGUACAAGGAAGAACAGACCUAUGUGCAUUUUGUAGGAAGAAAAAUGUGAAUGGAAAAAGGAGAAAAGGAGAGAAGCAGGGGGAAAAUCUGGAUAAUGCAUGAAAGUAGCCAUAAUUUUGGACAUGUGUUUGUCUUCACUGAAACUGUGUCUGUCACCAGUGAAACUGAAGUCGGAUAUUUGCUCAAUCGGGAUGCUCACCAAUUUGAGGCUUUACUUUAAAGUUUGGAGCUGCAUGGGUUUGUGGAGAAAGUCGGCUCAUGAUGUGUGUGAUGUUUUUCUCCAACUUUUUUCUUUUUCUUCUUUGCUUUGGGAUCUUGUGGGAAGUACCUCAAGAAAACCUGAAGAUGGUAAAUUUCUGACAACUAAUGCUUACUAUUUUCCCUCUUUUUUUUUUUCCUUUUGCCUGCUAGAUUUCCUUGUGGUUGUGAUUCUUUUUUACCUAUUUGAAUCGAGAAGGAUAGCACAGACAUCUUAAAAACAGAACUAAAAAUUCUUUGACUCGUUCAUGUGAUAAGAACACGUGCUUCUUGGGAAAAGACAAAGCUGAAUGUUUCCAUAGCAGCUGUUCAAGAGGCUUGUCCAAAGACAAAACUCCAAAGGUUUCCAAGUCACUGUCAUAUGCUGAAUGGAUAGCCCAAUCUGACAUUAAUCCUGGACUUGGUGCUGCACUGUGAAUCCCCUGCUGUACCGCUUGUGAAGCGAACCCCCUGCAGCCAUUACCUCUUUCACUGGACUGUCUGCCAUUUUGGAAAAGUAAAGGAGUCUCAUCAACUUGAAUUCAUUGAUCUCACAAGCAUAUUGAAAAUUUUAAAACUUUCUGUGGGACUCUGACAUGCCAGAAACCACUAGUAAAAGAAGUUUGCUAUUCAGACCGCCAUAAAGAAGUUCUACUUGUAUUUGAACAGAGAAAAAAAGUGAUACCUUCAGCGCGGGUCCAAGCCUGUUGCCCCAAAUCGGAUAAUCUCUGCCGCUGAUAACAAGCAAAAAAAGAAGCCAGGCAACAACCAUAUUAAAGAAGAAAACAACUGAGAGGAUGCAAUCCUGAAAGCUUUAUUUCUCCCGAAGAUCCCGCCUUGAGAGGACAAGCCAGUGAGUCCAGUAUGUAAAUGCGGUCAUCAAGCAAGAUGGAGCUGCCAGCAGGCUGAGAUUUUGAAAGCCACUCUUGAAAUCCCUUUACUGAAUUCCUUCUUCAGUGGUACUUUUCCUCAAAGUUUUUCCCUUUGCUCAGCAAUGUUGAAAAUGACUGCAAAGCAAUAUUGCAAUAGAUAAACCAGUUGUGCUGUGGAGUUGUUUGUGUGUGUGUAUGUAUGAUAGCAUUUUAUCUGAAACUUGUAAAUAAAAAUAAUAAUAAAAAGA